UUGUGCUCCUCCUGCCUCAGCCUCCCAGACUAUUGUGAUAUUUUUAAAGCACAAUUACUGCAUAUAAGAUAGAAUGUGGACGACACACACUUUGCAACCUUUUCUGUGCCAAGGGUUUGCUGAAGUUGGCGGAGUACAGGAUGUAUUAGCAAAGAGUGAUGAGCUUUAUUGGGAUUUAUCAAUUACAGAAAAAUAUUAAGCACUGCUGGGCCAUCUGAGUUUUAAGCUCUUGCCUGUGGCACUCAGGCCUGUCUGCAUGCCUCUUCAUCCAAAGUCAAAAAGAAAAUGACCCAACUGCAAAUUGCCAGAUAGCACACUGUCUCGCUUGACUGGCAGCUGAAGAAACCAUCACACGGAUCCCUCACUAAGCUCAAAAUUAGGAAAUCGACAGCAAAUGGAGAGCUCGUGAGCUGUGAUUUACAACUAUGGAGCUAAACUGCAGGAGAAGAGCCUGGGGGCC